UACGUAGGGCGCAAGCGUUGUCCGGAAUUAUUGGGCGUAAAGAGCUCGUAGGCGGUUUGUCGCGUCUGCUGUGAAAACUCGAGGCUCGACCUCGGGCUUGCAGUGGGUACGGGCAGACUAGAGUGCGGUAGGGGAGACUGGAAUUCCUGGUGUAGCGGUGAAAUGCGCAGAUAUCAGGAGGAACACCGGUGGCGAAGGCGGGUCUCUGGGCCGAUACUGACGCUGAGGAGCGAAAGCGUGGGGAGCGAACAGG
rnacentral:rRNA from 1 species